UGGGGAAUUUUGGACAAUGGGCGCAAGCCUGAUCCAGCCAUUCCGCGUGCAGGACGAAGGCCUUCGGGUUGUAAACUGCUUUUGUACGGAACGAAACGCCCUUCUCUAAUACAGAGUGGUCAUGACGGUACCGUAAGAAUAAGCACCGGCUAACUACGUGCCAGCAGCCGCGGUAAUACGUAGGGUGCAAGCGUUAAUCGGAAUUACUGGGCGUAAAGCGUGCGCAGGCGGUUUUGUAAGACAGAGGUGAAAGCCCCGGGCUCAACCUGGGAACUGCCUUUGUGACUGCAAGGCUGGAGUGCGGCAGAGGGGGAUGGAAUUCCGCGUGUAGCAGUGAAAUGCGUAGAGAUGCGGAGGAACACCGAUGGCGAAGGCAAUCCCCUGGGCCUGCACUGACGCUCAUGCACGAAAGCGUGGGGAGCAAACA
rnacentral:rRNA from 1 species